GGCAAAGCUCUAACCAGUGUCUUCCCCUCUUUACCUACAGGAAGAAAAGGAACAGCAGAUGCCUGAGCUCUGCCUCCAGCAGGCCCAUGGGCCCCCAAAGCUAUACCAGACAUUUCUGCCAUGCUGUGCUGAACUCAGAAUGCCUCAUUACAAAGAGUGCAACUGGAAACAUCAGUGUUACUGAAAGGUCAGCCAAAUACAACAACGUGUAAGUAGGCA